rnacentral:rRNA from 1 species
CCCUUAGACGUUCUGGGCCGCACGCGCGCUACACUGACCAGUGCAACAAGCAUCCGUCCUUGGCCGACAGGCCCGGGCAAUCUUUGAACGCUGGUCGUGAUGGGGAUAGACUUUUGCAAUUUUUGGUCUUCAACGAGGAAUUCCUAGUAAACGCAAGUCAUCAACUUGCAUUGAUUACGUCCCUGCCCUUUGUACACACCGCCCGUCGCACCUACCGAUUGAAUGGUCCGGUGAAAUGUUCGGAUCGCGGCAAAUCGGACGGGUAACCGUCAGGUUCGCUGCGAGAAGUUCAUUAAACCUUAUCAUUUAGAGGAAGGAGAAGUCGUAACA